AUUGAACGCUGGCGGCAGGCCUAACACAUGCAAGUCGAGCGAGCGGAGGACGGGUGAGUAAUGUCUGGGAAACUGCCUGAUGGAGGGGGGUAACUACUGGAAACGGUAGCUAAUACCGCAUACCAUCAGAUGUGCCCAGAGGGGAGUAGCUAGUAGGUGGGGUAACGGCUAACCCAGGCGACGAUCCCUAGCUGGUCUGAGAGGAUGACCAGCCACACUGGAACUGAGACAAGGUCCAGACUCCUACGGGAGGCAGCAGUGGGGAAUAUUGCACAAGGGGCGCAAGCCUGAUGCAGCCAUGCCGCGUGUGUGAAGAAGGCCUUCGGGUUGUAAAGCACUUUCAGCGGGUAGGCGUUACCCGCAGAAGAAGCACCGGCUAACUCCGUGCCAGCAGCCGCGGUAAUUC
rnacentral:rRNA from 1 species